rnacentral:rRNA from 1 species
GACGAACGCUGGCGGCGUGCUUAACACAUGCAAGUCGAACGGAAAGGCCCUGCUUUUGUGGGGUGCUCGAGUGGCGAACGGGUGAGUAACACGUGAGUAACCUGCCCUUGACUUUGGGAUAACUUCAGGAAACUGGGGCUAAUACCGGAUAGGAGCUCCUGCUGCAUGGUGGGGGUUGGAAAGUUUCGGCGGUUGGGGAUGGACUCGCGGCUUAUCAGCUUGUUGGUGGGGUAGUGGCUUACCAAGGCUUUGACGGGUAGCCGGCCUGAGAGGGUGACCGGCCCCAAUGGGGAUGGGGUGCGGGCCCGGCUGCUAAGGGGGGGAAGCGGGGGGAAUAUUGCACAAUGGGCGGAAGCCUGAUGCAGCAACGCCGCGUGCGGGAUGACGGCCUUCGGGUUGUAAACCGCUUUCGCCUGUGACGAAGCGUGAGUGACGGUAAUGGGUAAAGAAGCACCGGCUAACUACGUG